UGGGGAAUAUUGCACAAUGGGCGCAAGCCUGAUGCAGCCAUGCCGCGUGUGUGAAGAAGGCCUUCGGGUUGUAAAGUACUUUCAGUCGGGAGGAAGGUGGUAAGGUUAAUAACCUUAUCAAUUGACGUUACCGACAGAAGAAGCACCGGCUAACUCCGUGCCAGCAGCCGCGGUAAUACGGAGGGUGCAAGCGUUAAUCGGAAUUACUGGGCGUAAAGCGCACGCAGGCGGUUGAUUGAGUCAGAUGUGAAAUCCCCGGGCUUAACCCGGGAAUUGCAUCUGAUACUGGUCAGCUAGAGUCGUGUAGAGGGGGGUAGAAUUCCAUGUGUAGCGGUGAAAUGCGUAGAGAUGUGGAGGAAUACCGGUGGCGAAGGCGGCCCCCUGGACAAAGACUGACGCUCAGGUGCGAAAGCGUGGGGAGCAAACAGG
rnacentral:rRNA from 1 species